rnacentral:rRNA from 1 species
CCUACGGGAGACAGCAGUGGGGAAUAUUGCACAAUGGGGGAAACCCUGAUGCAGCGACGCCGCGUGAGUGAAUAAGUACUUCGUUAUGUAAAGCUCUAUCAGCAGGGAAGAAAAUGACGGUACCUGCGUAAGAAGCCCCGGCUCACUACGUGCCAGCAGCCGCGGUAAUACGUAGGGGGCAAGCGUUAUCCGGAUUUACUGGGUGUAAAGGGAGCGUAGACGGCAGUGCAAGUCUGGAGUGAAAGGCGGGGGCUCAACCCCCGGACUGCUCUGGAAACUGUACGGCUGGAGUGCAGGAGAGGUAAGCGGAAUUCCUAGUGUAGCGGUGAAAUGCGUAGAUAUCAGGAGGAACACCAGUGGCGAAGGCGGCUUACUGGACUGUAACUGACGUUGAGGCUCGAAAGCGUGGGGAGCAAACAGGAUUAGAUACCCCAGUAGUC